CAAGCAGCGGAGCAUGUGGUUUAAUUCGAAGCAACGCGAAGAACCUUACCAGGUCUUGACAUCCCUCUGAAUGGCGCUUAGCAGCGCAGGUCUUUCGGGACAGAGGAGACAGGUGGUGCAUGGUUGUCGUCAGCUCGUGUCGUGAGAUGUUGGGUUAAGUCCCGCAACGAGCGCAACCCCUUGCCUUUAGUUGCCAUCAUUCAGUUGGGCACUCUAGCGAGACUGCCGGUAAUAAACCGGAGGAAGGUGGGAUGACGUCAAAUCAUCAUGCCCCUUAUGACCUGGGCUACACACGUGCUACAAUGGUUGGUACAACGAGUUGCGAGUCGGUGACGGCGAGCUAAUCUCUUAAAGCCAAUCUCAGUUCGGAUUGUAGGCUGCAACUCGCCUACAUGAAGUCGGAAUCGCUAGUAAUCGCGGAUCAGCACGCCGCGGUGAAUACGUUCCCGGGCCUU
rnacentral:rRNA from 1 species